rnacentral:rRNA from 1 species
AGAGUUUGAUCCUGGCUCAGGAUGAACGCUAGCGGCAGGCCUAAUAUAUGCAAGUCGAGGGGUAACAGGGUAGUAAUACUGCUGACGACCGGCGCACGGGUGCGUAAUGCGUAUGCAACCUACCUUUAACUGGGGGAUAGCCCCGAGAAAUCGGGAUUAAUACCGCAUAACACUGUGAUAUGGUAUUAUAUUACAGUUAAAAUUUUGGUGGUUAAAGAUGGGCAUGCGUGACAUUAGUUAGUUGGUAGGGUAAUGGCUUACCAAGACUACGAUGUCUAGGGGUUUUGAGAGGAUGAUCCCCCACACUGGUACUGAGAUAUGGACCAGACUCCUAUGGGAGGCAGCAGUAAGGAAUAUUGGUCAAUGGACGUAAGUCUGAACCAGCCAUGCCGCGUGCAGGAAGACGGCCCUAUGGGUUGUAAACUGCUUUUAUAUAGGAAUAAAUUCAUGUUUGUGAAUAUGAUUGAAGGUAUUAUAAGAAUAAGGACCGGUUAACUCCGUGUUAGUAGUUGUGGUAAUACGGAGGGUCCAAGCGUUAUCCGGAUUUAUUGGGUUUAAAGGGUGCGCAGGCGGACCUAUCAGUCAGUGGUGAAAUUUCGGGGUUUAACUCCGAAAUUGCCAUUGAUACUGUAGGUCUUGAGUUUGGUUGAAGUGGGCGGAAUGUAGCAUGUAGUGGUGAAAUGUAUAGAUAUGCUACAGAAUAUUGAUUGUGAAGGUAGCUCACUAAGCCAAAACUGACGCUCAGGCACGUAAGCGUGGGUAGUGAAUAGGAUUAGAUAUCCUGGUAGUCCACGCCGUAAACGAUGAUCACUCGUUGUUGGUGACAUAUUGUCAGUGAUUAAGUGAAAGUGAUAAGUGAUCCACCUGGGGAGUACGUUCGUAAGAAUGAAACUCAAAGGAAUUGACGGGGGCCCGCACAAGCGGUGGAGCAUGUGGUUUAAUUCGAUGAUAUGUGAGGAAUUUUACCUGGGCUUAAAUGUAAGUUGACAGGUCCUGAAAGGGAUUUUUUUUGGACAAUCUACAAGGUGCUGCAUGGUUGUCGUCAGCUCGUGCCGUGAGGUGUUGGGUUAAGUCCCAUAACGAGCGUAAUCCCUAUUCUUAGUUGCCAUCAGGUUAUGCUGGGGACUCUAGGAAAACUGCCUACGUAAGUAGAGAGGAAGGUGGGGAUGACGUCAAAUCAGUACGGCCCUUAUGUCCAGGGCUACACACGUGCUACAAUGGCCGGUAUAGAGGGCAGCUAUCCCGUGAGGGAGAGCGAAUCUCGAAAGCCGGUCUCAGUUUGGAUUGAAGUCUGUAAUUUGACUUCGUGAAGCUGGAAUCGCUAGUAAUCGCGCAUUAGCCAUGGCGCGGUGAAUACGUUUCCGGGCCUUGUAUAUAUCGCCCGUCAAGCCAUGGAAGCUGGGGGUACCUGAAGUCGGUAACCGUAAGGAGCUGCCUAGGGUAAAACUAGUGACUGGGGCUAAGUUGAAAUAAGGUA